AUACGGAAGGUCCGGGCGUUAUCCGGAUUUAUUGGGUUUAAAGGGAGCGCAGGCGGAGAUGCAAGCGUGACGUCAAAUUUCGGGGCUCAACCCCGUCUCGCGUCGCGAACUGCGUCCCUUGGUUGCGGGAAGGGGAGGCGGAACUCGUGGUGUAGCGGUGAAAUGCAUAGAUAUCACGAAGAACUCCGAUCGCGAAGGCAGCCUUCCGGCCCGUCAACGACGCUCAUGCUCGAAGGUGCGGGUAUCAAACAGGAUUAGAUACCCUGGUAGUCCGCACAGUAAACGAUGGACACCCGCGGUUUGGCCUGUAUGGCUGAGCCGCCAAGCGAAAGCGUUAAGUGUCCCACCUGGGGAGUACGCCGGCAACGGUGUAACUCAAAGGAAUUGACGGGG
rnacentral:rRNA from 1 species